GGGAGACGGUGGAUUUACAUCCCACACACAUCCCACCAGGCACGAGCAGCUUCCACUGCACAAUCUAGUCACGGACUUUUUUCUUUUCUCCCCCUCCUUCUCAGUGUUGGUCAGAAUAGAAGCUGGGAGGAGAGAGGGAGG
rnacentral:lncRNA from 1 species